CCGCCCUCGGGCUCCCCACUCUGGGGCUCCUUGAGCACGUGGGCGCUGCCGGCUUGGGAGGUGAGGCGAACAUCCAUCUGACUAGAAGUCAGGCCAGCAUUGGUACCUAGAGAAGAAAGGAGUAACCUUCAGGAGUCAGCCCGAUUGUAGCUGAGACUGGGACUCAUGCAGUAGUUAUACGGCAUCUGGAUGUGAACUUGGGACAAAUGUUAUGCAGAAUUAAGCUCGGUUUGAGCUCACUCUCCUCUGGAGAUACAGAGGGGUGGGGAUGAGUGUGCUCCCUCCUUGUCCCCAGGUGUUGAGGCAAAGCAUUUGUACUUCUGUUAUUGCUACAUCUUUGAAGUGACAAGAAAGGAUUUUCUGUGAAGAACUCUGAUUCUACCCUAUCAGACAAAAGCUGGCUAGCUCUGAAGAGAAGAGCCCAGAAAGUAGUGACAACAUCCAGAGGAUUGAUAUCGAGACCAGCAGAGCAACAUGUCACUGGAGACUCUGCUAAGAACAGAAGAGCUCAACAUGUUUAUAGAUACUAUACCAUUGUACAUAACACCAUGAGAGGUGUGAGGUGACUCAUCCUUCAUAUCCCUAUUUGUGAGCACCACAUACAUGAUUCCCAUGCAAGCUCACUUUCCCCAAUGAUAACAUGUAAAGUUGUGGGAAAGUAUACCCAUAUUUAUGGGAGGAAAUACAGAAAAUAUAUGCAGAAUUAAGUAAUGACAAUGUAAUAAACCACCAAAGAACAAUCAAAAGUCAAAGCUGCAAAAUUACGAAGAACAAACAGUGAAGUGAUAUGAGAAGGCACAGCUACCCCACUCCUUUGCAGAGAUGGAAGGUACACAGGUGUAGACCAUUCUUCUUUACUAUGCUAUUUCAUUAAAUACCUUUGCUAUAACCA